rnacentral:rRNA from 1 species
UGGGGAAUAUUGCACAAUGGGCGCAAGCCUGAUGCAGCCAUGCCGCGUGUGUGAAGAAGGCCUUCGGGUUGUAAAGCACUUUCAGCGGGGAGGAAGGCGGUGAGGUUAAUAACCUCAUCGAUUGACGUUACCCGCAGAAGAAGCACCGGCUAACUCCGUGCCAGCAGCCGCGGUAAUACGGAGGGUGCAAGCGUUAAUCGGAAUUACUUGGCGUAAAGCGCACGCAGGCGGUCUGUCAAGUCGGAUGUGAAAUCCCCGGGCUCAACCUGGGAACUGCAUUCGAAACUGGCAGGCUAGAGUCUUGUAGAGGGGGGUAGAAUUCCAGGUGUAGCGGUGAAAUGCGUAGAGAUCUGGAGGAAUACCGGUGGCGAAGGCGGCCCCCUGGAAAAAGACUGACGCUCAGGUGCGAAAGCGUGGGGAGCAAACAGG